CCUCCUCCUUCUUCACCUCCACCUUCUCCGUCGGAACCGCCUCCGUUUUCACCUCCUUCACCGGCGCAAUCGCGGUAUUCGUCUCCGUCACCGUCGCCGUCUCCGCCUUCUCCUCCGCCCUAGCUACCGCCGAUCGGAGCACACUAGCUCCGAUCGCAACCAACGGCAUCACCAGCACAUCUCGUCUUCUCCGCCGAGCAUAACCUGCAUCAUCACUCUCCUCCUCCUCCGGUUUCCUCCGGUUAACGCCGCUGCAGCUGACGUGGCGACGUGCGCUGCUACUCUCUUCCUCCGGUAUCCUCCGUUGAACGGCACUGAUGCUGACGUGGCAACGUCCGUUGCUACUCUCCUCUGAAUUCCUCCGGUGAACGGCACCGAUGCUGACGUGGCAGCGGCGACGGAGACACUCCUCAUCCGGAUUCCUCCGGUGAACGGUGCUGAUACUGACGUGGCGGUGGCGUUUGCUGGACGGAACCACACGGAACGUGUGAUGAGAAGUUUCCGGUGAAGAAAGCGCGUGGAUGACACGCACAGGAGG
rnacentral:lncRNA from 1 species